UACGGGGGGUGCGAGCGUUGUCCGGAAUCACUGGGCGUAAAGGGCGCGUAGGCGGCCUGAUAAGUAGGGGGUGAAAUCUUGCGGCUUAACCGCAAGGCUGCCUUCUAAACUGUCGGGCUAGAGCACAGUAGAGGCAGGUGGAAUUCCCGGUGUAGCGGUGGAAUGCGUAGAGAUCCGGAAGAACACCGGUGGCGAAGGCGGCCUGCUGGGCAGUGGCUGACGCUGAGGCGCGACAGCGUGGGGAGCAAACAGG
rnacentral:rRNA from 1 species